CCAUAUCUGAACCUUCGGGGAACGAUAACGGCGUCGAGCGGCGGACGGGUGAGUAAUGCCUAGGAAAUUGCCCUGAUGUGGGGGAUAACCAUUGGAAACGAUGGCUAAUACCGCAUGAUGCCUACGGGCCAAAGAGGGGGACCUUCGGGCCUCUCGCGUCAGGAUAUGCCUAGGUGGGAUUAGCUAGUUGGUGAGGUAAGGGCUCACCAAGGCGACGAUCCCUAGCUGGUCUGAGAGGAUGAUCAGCCACACUGGAACUGAGACACGGUCCAGACUCCUACGGGAGGCAGCAGUGGGGAAUAUUGCACAAUGGGCGCAAGCCUGAUGCAGCCAUGCCGCGUGUAUGAAGAAGGCCUUCGGGUUGUAAAGUACUUUCAGUCGUGAGGAAGGCGGUGUCGUUAAUAGCUGCAUUGUUUGACGUUAGCGACAGAAGAAGCACCGGCUAACUCCGUGCCAGCAGCCGCGGUAAUACGGAGGGUGCGAGCGUUAAUCGGAAUUACUGGGCGUAAAGCGCAUGCAGGUGGUUUGUUAAGUCAGAUGUGAAAGCCCGGGGCUCAACCUCGGAAUAGCAUUUGAAACUGGCAGACUAGAGUACUGUAGAGGGGGGUAGAAUUUCAGGUGUAGCGGUGAAAUGCGUAGAGAUCUGAAGGAAUACCGGUGGCGAAGGCGGCCCCCUGGACAGAUACUGACACUCAGAUGCGAAAGCGUGGGGAGCAAACAGGAUUAGAUACCCUGGUAGUCCACGCCGUAAACGAUGUCUACUUGGAGGUUGUGGCCUUGAGCCGUGGGCUUUCGGAGCUAACGCGUUAAGUAGACCGCCUGGGGAGUACGGUCGCAAGAUUAAAACUCAAAUGAAUUGACGGGGCCCGCACAAGCGGUGGAGCAUGUGGUUUAAUUCGAUGCAACGCGAGAACCUUACCUACUCUUGACAUCCAGAGAACUUUCCAGAGAUGGAUUGUG
rnacentral:rRNA from 1 species